rnacentral:rRNA from 1 species
GACGAACGCUGGCGGCGUGCCUAAUACAUGCAAGUAGGACGCAGUGGCGAACGGGGGAGUAACGCGUAGGUAACUAACUAUUAGAGGGGGAUAACUAUUGGAAACGAUAGCGAAUACCGCAUACUAGUAGAUGGACCUGCGUUGUAUUAGCUAGUAGGGAGGGUUAUGGCCUACCUAGGCAACGAUACAUAGCCGUACUGGACGGUUGAACGGCCAAAAUGGGAAUGGGACACGGCCAAGACGCCUUCGGGAGGCAGUAAGAUGGACUCUGCGGCAAUGGGGGGAACCCUGACCGCGCAACGCCGCGUGAGUGAAGAAGGUUUUCGGAUCGUAAAGCUCUGUGGUUAAGGGAGCGGUACUUAACCAGAAAGGGACGGCUAACUACGUGCCAGCAGCCGCGGUAAUUC